UUCUCUUAUCUCUUUCGAUCUCUUUUUCCCAAAUUUCCCUUAAUCUACGAAACUCAAUACCUCACUCUUUUUUUCUUCACACUUCUUCGACAGAAAAAGAACAAAAAAAUGGAUUUGCUAUCUUGAAAAUUUUCUCUCAAAUUUUCUCUCAAAAUUCCUCUCAAUUUUCUCAUUCUCUAACACCCAAACCGAAUGACGAUUUCUUCUACCAAUACCGUUUCUUAUUAACCGUUUCAGUCUCAAAUAAGCUAUUAUAACUGCGAGCGGAGAGAAACAGAGAGAGAAGACGAGUCCGAGAGAUCGAGUUUUCGGGUUUGGGCUGUUGAUGGCUAUGGGUGCCCUUCCGUAGGAGACAAAUAAAUUUAUGUGAUUGCAAGCAGUUUUGGAAAGCAGGGGAUUAUGAGAUCACCGACAGAGGCGAUGCUGCUUCGACUUCUGAUCGUUGCUGGUGCAAUCCUUGAGAAUUAUGAGCCUCCACCGGGUGGGUUCUACUUUGAAGUCCAUGAUAAUUCCCCAAUGGUUCAAUAUUCAAGCCUGAGUUAAUGACUUUGUUGCUGCUGCAGUAUCGCAUGGAAAUGGUGAAAGCUAUUCACAAUACAUUUUGCUAGGGUAAGGAAUGCAUUGGCCUUUGCUACGCACAAAUUUUUCCAAGAGCAUGGAUUUGUUUGGGUCUCAAGUCCUAUUGUUACAGCUUCAUAUUGUGAAGGCGCAGGUGAACAGUUAUGUGUGACUACUUUGAUACAAAGCUCUGGCUAAGCUGUUGAUUCUCCUUUGGAUGCCAUUCCGAAGACUAAGGAUGGGUUAAUUGACUGGUCAUAGGAGGGCAUUACUAAUAUACAAAGCCUUGGAAGGCUUUCUUCAUAGCAAGAAUUUAUUAUUCGGCUAAGAGCUACAUUGAUUGAUGGAUGUGGAGGACAACGUCAAAGAUUCAACAUUAUUACUGUUCAAAAUCCACCAAACGAAGAUGAAUCAAUUUUUACUACCCAAUACUUCGUAGCUUCAUCUACUCCUUUAACCAACUAAAUUGUAAAGUGAUGUACUUUGAAACGAGUUUUAGUAUUAGGUAGUCAUGCAAGAUGAAGACAAACAAAUGUAAAUUAACUCAUUUUCGUUUUUUUU